rnacentral:rRNA from 1 species
AGGGAAUAGAUACCCGGGUAGUCCCAGCCCUAAACGAUGGAUACUAGGUGUCGGGGGUAUCGACCCCUCCGGUGCCGUCGCUAAACGCAGUAAAGUAUCCCGCCUGGGGAGUACGGCCGCAAGGUUGAAACCCAAAGGAAUUGACGGGGGCCCGCACAAGCGGUGGAGCAUGUGGUUUAAUACGUCACUAACCGUAGAACCUUACCAAGGCUUGACAUCCGUCGCACCGGUGUGAAAGCAUCGUCCCGAGUAAUCGGGCGGCGAGACAGGUGUUGCAUGGCUGUCGUCAGCUCGUGUCGUGAGAUGUUGGGUUAAGUCCCGCAACGAGCGCAACCCUCAUCCCAUGUUGCCAGCGGGUAAUGCCGGGAACUCUUGGGAAACUGCCGGGGUAACUCGGAGGAAGGUGAGGAUGACGUCAAGUCAGCAUGGCCCUUACGCCUUGGGCUACACACAUGCUACAAUGGACGGUAUACAGAGGGACCCGAUGCCGUGAGGUGGAGGCAAUCCCAGAAAUCCGUUCUCAGUUCGGAUUGCAGGCUGCAACUCGCCUGC